rnacentral:lncRNA from 1 species
CUUCUUCCCGACAGAUCGGCGAUCUGUAUGGGCGGCCAUAUAACAUCUCGUACGGAGCCGUGCCGAUACUUACUUGGUAGUUGUUAUUAUAGGCGAACUCUAUUAAGAGUAAAUGAUCAUCUCAAUGGCCCUCGAAGUCAAGAACACAAGCUCGGAGCAUAUCUUCAAGUGUGCAGAUUGUCCUUUCUGACUAUCAAUCGGUCUGAAGGUGGAAUG